AAACGGUAACAGGAUAGCUUGCUAUCGCUGACGAGUGGCGGACGGGUGAGUAAUACUUAGGGAUCUGCCUCUGUGUGGGGGAUAACUAUUGGAAACGAUAGCUAAUACCGCAUAAUGUCUACGGACCAAAGCGGGCUUCGGCUCGUGCGCAGAGAGGAACCUAAGCGAGAUUAGCUAGUUGGUGAGGUAAAGGCUCACCAAGGCGACGAUCUCUAGCUGUUCUGAGAGGAAGAUCAGCCACACUGGAACUGAGACACGGUCCAGACUCCUACGGGAGGCAGCAGUGGGGAAUAUUGCACAAUGGGGGAAACCCUGAUGCAGCCAUGCCGCGUGUGUGAAGAAGGCCUUCGGGUUGUAAAGCACUUUCAGUUGUGAGGAAAGUUUAGUAGUUAAUACCUGCUAGAUGUGACGUUAGCAACAGAAGAAGCACCGGCUAACUCCGUGCCAGCAGCCGCGGUAAUACGGAGGGUGCGAGCGUUAAUCGGAAUUACUGGGCGUAAAGCGCACGCAGGCGGUCUGUUAAGCUAGAUGUGAAAGCCCCGCGCUCAAACGUGGGAGGGUCAUUUAGAACUGGCAGACUAGAGUCUUGGAGAGGGGAGUGGAAUUCCAGUGUACGGUGAAAUGCGUAAGAUCUGGAG
rnacentral:rRNA from 1 species